ACCGGAACAAGCUCCGAUCCUCGCGGAGAGGAGCGCAUUUGUUCGCCACAAAACCAAGCGCCCUUCUGGGCGUCCAGUGCUGAACCAGAACAACUCAGCUGAUCGCACGGUCUUGCACCGGCGACGUGUCUUUCAAGUGUCUGCCUUAUCAACUUUCGAUGGUAGUGUACCUGACUACCAUGGUUGUGACGGGUAACGGAGGAUAAGGGUUCGACUCCGGAGAAGGGGCCUGAGAAAUGGCCACUACGUCUAAGGAUGGCAGCAGGCGCGCAAAUUACCCACUCUCAACGCGAGGAGGUAGUGACGAGAAAUAACAAGACCGUUCUCUUAUGAGGCCGGUUAUUGGAAUGGGUACAAUUUAAACCCUUUAACGAGUAUCUAUGAGAGGGCAAGUCUGGUGCCAGCAGCCGCGGUAAUUCCAGCUCUCAAAAUGCAUAGAAUUAUUGCUGCGGUUAAAAAGCUCGUAGUUGGAUCUGUGCCGACUGGCCGGUCCACCCACUGGGUGUGCACUGGUUCGGUUGGCUUUUCCGCCGGAGUGCCUGGCGUUGGUGUGCUCGUCAGGGUGUGCCAGCGCGGGUCCGGCAAGUUUACUUUGAACAAAUCAGAGUGCUUCAAACAGGCGUCUCGCCUGAAUGUUCGUGCAUGGAAUAAUAGAAGAGGAUUUCGGUCCGAUUUUAUUGGUUUUGCUGACCGAGAUAAUGGUUAACAGAGACAAACGGGGCCAUUCGUAUUGCUGCGUGAGAGGUGAAAUUCUUGGACCGUAGCAAGACGGACUACAGCGAAAGCAUUUGGCAAGAAUGUCUUCAUUAAUCAAGAACGAAAGUCAGAGGUUCGAAGGCGAUCAGAUACCGCCCUAGUUCUGACCGUAAACGAUGCCAACUAGCGAUCCGCCGGCGGAUUCAUUCGCCCUGGUGGGGAGCUUCCCGGAAACGAAAGUCUUCCGGUUCCGGGGGAAGUAUGGUUGCAAAGCUGAACUUAAAGGAAUUGACGGAAGGCACC
rnacentral:rRNA from 1 species